rnacentral:rRNA from 1 species
GACGAACGCUGGCGGCGUGCCUAAUACAUGCAAGUAGAACGCACAGUUUAUACCGUAGCUUGCUACACCAUAGACUGUGAGUUGCGAACGGGUGAGUAACGCGUAGGUAACCUGCCUGGUAGCGGGGGAUAACUAUUGGAAACGAUAGCUAAUACCGCAUAAUAUUAAUUAUUGCAUGAUAAUUAAUUGAAAGGUGCAAUUGCACCACUACCAGAUGGACCUGCGUUGUAUUAGCUAGUAGGUGAGGUAACGGCUCACCUAGGCGACGAUACAUAGCCGACCUGAGAGGGUGAUCGGCCACACUGGGACUGAGACACGGCUCAGACUCCUACGGGAGGCAGCAGUAGGGAAUCUUCGGCAAUGGACGAAAGUCUGACCGAGCAACGCCGCGUGAGUGAAGAAGGUUUUCGGAUCGUAAAGCUCUGUUGUAAGAGAAGAACGGGUGUGAGAGUGGAAAGUUCACACUGUGACGGUAGCUUACCAGAAAGGGACGGCUAACUACGUG